CCCUUGGGUCUGAUGGGGUAG
rnacentral:miRNA from 1 species